GGGCCCGCACAAGCGGUGGAGCAUGUGGCUUAAUACGACGCAACGCGUAGAACCUUACCAGGACUUGACAUGCACUGGACCGGCUAUGAAAGUAGCCUUCUCUUCGGAGCCGGUGCACAGGUGUUGCAUGCCUGUCGUCAGCUCGUGUCGUGAGAUGUUGGGUUAAGUCCCGCAACGAGCGCAACCCUUGUUUUUAGUUGCCAUCACUUCGGGUGGGCACUCUAAAGAGACUGCCGGUGAUAAACCGGAGGAAGGUGGGGAUGACGUCAAGUCAUUAUGGCCCUUACGUCCUGGGCUGCACACGUGCUACAAUGGCCGGUACAAAGGGUUGCCAAACCGCGAGGUGGAGCCAAUCCCAAAAAGCCGGUCUCAGUUCAGAUUGGAGUCUGCAAUUCGACUCCAUGAAGUCGGAAUCGCUAGUAAUGGCGCAUCAGCUACGGCGCCGUGAAUACGUUCCCGGGCCUU
rnacentral:rRNA from 1 species